rnacentral:rRNA from 1 species
AGGAUGAACGCUGGCGGUCUGCUUAACACAUGCAAGUCGAACGGGCGUAGCAAUACGUUAGUGGCGGACGGGUGAGUAACGCGUGAGAAUCUACCUUCAGGACGGAGACAACAGUUGGAAACGACUGCUAACCCCCGAUGUACCGAAAGGGCAAAUAUUUAUAGCCUGAAGAAGAGCUCGCGUCCGAUUAGCUAGUUGGAGAGGUAAAAGCUCACCAAGGCGACGAUCGGUAGCUGGUCUGAGAGGACGAUCAGCCACACUGGGACUGAGACACGGCCCAGACUCCUACGGGAGGCAGCAGUGGGGAAUUUUCCGCAAUGGGCGAAAGCCUGACGGAGCAAGACCGCGUGGGGGAAGAAGGCUCUUGGGUUGUAAACCCCCUUUUCUCUGGGAAGAACGCAAUGACGGUACCAGAGGAAUCAGCAUCGGCUAACUCCGUGCCAGCAGCCGC